rnacentral:piRNA from 1 species
UAAUCUAGACAAGAGUUCCUCUUCCGAUU